UUUUGGUAUUUAUAUGUGUAUAGUUAGUGGUUCUUUGUAUAUAUAUCGUUUUUCUUUCUAUACACAUAAGAAGCACGUGCGGGAUGUACUGUUGAGGAAAUAUGCGGUUGCAUAGUUUUGGCAAUGCAAAGCAUUAUGCUCUGGUAAAGAGUAGAUAUAUUCAAAGGGUGAAAAUUCAUUAAUAACCUUGACGGGAUGUGAUUAUUCCGAGAGUUAGUUGGUGGAUAUAUGGCACAUAAUGAUCGAGUGUUUUCAACAGUCCAAGAUCUAUGUCCGGAGCUGGAGGAGGAGCUCAGUAGGUUGAGUAUUGGUUCUGCUAGUGCUUAUCCUAUGCCAAAUUCUUGUCGAAAUCGUCCUGCUGAAUCUGUAGCUCAAUCUCAAGUUACUUAUUUGAUGCUGAAGAAUGAGAUUUGUGAUUUGUUUAGGGUUUUAUAUAGGGAGCGAGAGUGGGGACUUGUGCUGGACAGCGGAUUGGUUGCUGGGAGGAGGUUGCCAAUGUUAGAACUUAUAGCUUCGAGAAUCAAGUUCGAUGUAGCCGAGGAACUGUUGUUCGAUGUAGCGAUGUGUUAUGUAAUUUCGCUUGGUUUGGCUUUAUUUUUAGUGUACUUGAAUAAUGCAGUAGUGCUUUGUUUUUAUGUAUUAUUAAAUUGAGUAAUAAAAUAGUGUGAAUUUUUGUGAAUAAGUGCGAAUGAAUUGUUUCUUUAUUA